UUGUGGAGGGGGUGGGUUUCCAUUGGGAGUCAUAAACAGGAAGUCUGUGGUUGAUGACAUCAUCAAGCAGGGCACCAAUUGGGGGGGGGUCCGGUUGCACCUGUUGCCAUGGCAACGGGUAUCUGCCCGCACCUGCGAGCUCGGCAAAAGCCCCCUCGACUUGUGCCGCUUGAUUUAUUUGACCUCAAACCAAUUUCAUGUUGUCAGGAUGGCGCUGGGAUUGUCGCCCAAAAA